rnacentral:rRNA from 1 species
AGAGUUUGAUCCUGGCUCAGGAUGAACGCUGGCGGCGUGCCUAAUACAUGCAAGUCGAGCGAACGGACGAGAAGCUUGCUUCUCUGAUGUUAGCGGCGGACGGGUGAGUAACACGUGGAUAACCUACCUAUAAGACUGGGAUAACUUCGGGAAACCGGAGCUAAUACCGGAUAAUAUUUUGAACCGCAUGGUUCAAAAGUGAAAGACGGUCUUGCUGUCACUUAUAGAUGGAUCCGCGCUGCAUUAGCUAGUUGGUAAGGUAACGGCUUACCAAGGCAACGAUGCAUAGCCGACCUGAGAGGGUGAUCGGCCACACUGGAACUGAGACACGGUCCAGACUCCUACGGGAGGCAGCAGUAGGGAAUCUUCCGCAAUGGGCGAAAGCCUGACGGAGCAACGCCGCGUGAGUGAUGAAGGUCUUCGGAUCGUAAAACUCUGUUAUUAGGGAAGAACAUAUGUGUAAGUAACUGUGCACAUCUUGACGGUACCUAAUCAGAAAGCCACGGCUAACUACGUGCCAGCAGCCGCGGUAAUACGUAGGUGGCAAGCGUUAUCCGGAAUUAUUGGGCGUAAAGCGCGCGUAGGCGGUUUUUUAAGUCUGAUGUGAAAGCCCACGGCUCAACCGUGGAGGGUCAUUGGAAACUGGAAAACUUGAGUGCAGAAGAGGAAAGUGGAAUUCCAUGUGUAGCGGUGAAAUGCGCAGAGAUAUGGAGGAACACCAGUGGCGAAGGCGACUUUCUGGUCUGUAACUGACGCUGAUGUGCGAAAGCGUGGGGAUCAAACAGGAUUAGAUACCCUGGUAGUCCACGCCGUAAACGAUGAGUGCUAAGUGUUAGGGGGUUUCCGCCCCUUAGUGCUGCAGCUAACGCAUUAAGCACUCCGCCUGGGGAGUACGACCGCAAGGUUGAAACUCAAAGGAAUUGACGGGGACCCGCACAAGCGGUGGAGCAUGUGGUUUAAUUCGAAGCAACGCGAAGAACCUUACCAAAUCUUGACAUUCUUUGACAACUCUAGAGAUAGAGCCUUCCCCUUCGGGGGACAAAGUGACAGGUGGUGCAUGGUUGUCGUCAGCUCGUGUCGUGAGAUGUUGGGUUAAGUCCCGCAACGAGCGCAACCCUUAAGCUUAGUUGCCAUCAUUAAGUUGGGCACUCUAAGAUGACUGCCGGUGACAAACCGGAGGAAGGUGGGGAUGACGUCAAAUCAUCAUGCCCCUUAUGAUUUGGGCUACACACGUGCUACAAUGGACAAUACAAAGGGUAGCGAAACCGCGAGGUCAAGCAAAUCCCAUAAAGUUGUUCUCAGUUCGGAUUGUAGUCUGCAACUCGACUACAUGAAGCUGGAAUCGCUAGUAAU